rnacentral:rRNA from 1 species
GACGAACGCUGGCGGCGUGCUUAACACAUGCAAGUCGAGCGGUAAGGCCCUUUCGGGGGUACACGAGCGGCGAACGGGUGAGUAACACGUGGGUGACCUGCCCUCAGCUCUGGGAUAAGCCUGGGAAACUGGGUCUAAUACUGGAUAUGACUCCACGGUGCAUGUCGUGGGGUGGAAAGCCUUGUGCGGCUGAGGAUGGGCCCGCGGCCUAUCAGCUUGUUGGUGGGGUGANGGCCUACCAAGGCGACGACGGGUAGCCGGCCUGAGAGGGCGACCGGCCACACUGGGACUGAGACACGGCCCAGACUCCUACGGGAGGCAGCAGUGGGGAAUCUUGCGCAAUGGGCGAAAGCCUGACGCAGCGACGCCGCGUGAGGGAUGACGGCCUCG